UUGCGGUUAGGGUGCUACUGCUUAGUGUAUUAUGUGUAAAAUAAAGGACGCUUGAAUCUUACCUGAGUGAUGUCCAUUUCUUGAUCACUUUCAUCUGUGGGUGACCGAGCAGCGACAGCAACCCAAGGCGUAUACGGAAUCUUCUGAUCCGGCAAAGCACUGUUCUUUAGACGCAAACGUUUUUGACUGUGCUUAUCA